UACGUAGGGUGCGAGUGUUACUCGGAAUUACUGGGCGUAAAGCGUGCGCAGGCGGCUUUGCAAGACAGAUGUGAAAUCCCCGGGCUUAACCUGGGAACUGCAUUUGUGACUGCAUGGCUGGAGUGCGGCAGAGGGGGAUGGAAUUCCGCGUGUAGCAGUGAAAUGCGUAGAUAUGCGGAGGAACACCGAUGGCGAAGGCAAUCCCCUGGGCCUGCACUGACGCUCAUGCACGAAAGCGUGGGGAGCAAACAGG
rnacentral:rRNA from 1 species